UUGACUCAGUUCAUUAUUGGUGAUGCUGAAUUUAACACUGAGAAACAAUGCACAAUUAACUUUUCCAUGCAUGUAAUCCAUAAAGGCUUUUAGACAUAUUGACAUAAUAUGUGAUUCGAUCAGAUCUUUGUUUAAUAUCGACAGGGUGCGGCUGCAGGUGUUCUCAGACGAGCAGGAAAACAGUUGAUUGGUGCUCUGCGUAAUCUGGUGCGGUUCGACUUCAUUGGCUUCCCCAUUGGUUUGUCCCUGAUGUUUGCAGCAAACAUGGGGAUUGUAGGACUAUGGACAGGACUGACCAUUUGUGUGUCACUGUAGGCGAUUGUUUUUAUCACAAUUUUUGUGCAAACUUAAUUGGAAAAAGGCUGCUGAAGAGGCUCUUGUGAGAGCAGGAGUCCAGAUCCCAGAAGAAAAAGAGAUGGUUGAUUUGGAACACACAGACUCGAGUCAGAACCAGGCCCAGGUCUGUACUACUCCAUCCAGCUCUGUGAGUGCUGCGCAGGAUGAUGCAGACCUGGACGUGCAUGAGUCAGGCCACAGUCCACUACAGUCCACUACCACUACAAUGGGAGUUGUUCUGUCAGUAAAGCAGCAGGUUUUGCGGCGUGGCCUCACAUUGCUAAUCAUGAUCGUCAUGGAAUUGUAACCAGGAACUUGCUGGUGAAACUGUUCCAAUGACUCAUCCUAAAAGUGCUGCUCAUCAUAUUGAUUUUCACAUUACCCACAAUGCAAGUCAACCACGGAGAGUUCGUUCGGAGAUUCGGGCCGCUAGCCUCAAGCACAGAUGAGGCUACAUAGCUCUGGUGCAGUGGUACUCCCCAAGACCUGUAAACAGAUUUUGAUGUGUAAAAUCAGUGGAGUUCCCCCUUUAAUAUUCCAGUGCUAUAUUUGAAAAACCACAGUGAGCAUUAAUAGUUAGGUGCUGUACAUCUUUAUGCAUAUGAGUUCAGUAGCACAGGUAUUGGGCAUGUAAAAAGAUGAAUAUGGCUAUAAGUGGAGUUAGAAUGUGAAUUCAAAGAUGUUUCAAUUUUAGGAUUAACAUUUUUCAUGUCUGAUGAUUUUAUUCUUCAGAUGCUAAGUGAAUAUGUAGUGUAGAAAUUCACCUUGUACUUCAAAUCAGCACAAAUCAGACUGGCAUGUAUGGCGUUCCUCAGGGUUCCACUUUUAUUUGAUGUGUACAUGUUAGUUUUAACUCAACAGCAACAAUAUAAUAAUCAUAAUUAUUCGGAUCUCAAAUGUACUUAUCUGUGUUGAAAUAAUAGUUUUUGGUCCCUAAGAAGAAGGACUAAAAGUCAGUGCUCAUCUUAAUCCAUGUCACUGACAACUAAAACUUAAAUCAGAAAUCUUGGUGCAGUCAUGGAUCCAGACUUAAAUUUCAAAAGUCACCUCAAGACACACUGGUCAACUGAUUGAUUUCAGAUUUUAAUACAAACAUGGACAAGCUGCUUUUAGCUUUACACCUUGUUAUUAAAUAAAUCAAAAUGAAAAACACAUGUUUGCUGUUGCUUUUAAUUCAACUUUAUCUGUUUUUAGAUCUGAUUUGAUCUAAAAUCUCCCUGCUCUUCUCUUUUUUUGUUUUUUAUAUUUAUACUGUUUUAUUCUUGAUGUCUAAUGAAAAGCACUUUGAAUUAUCAUGUGUAAUUAUCGUGUGUAUGAUGACAAAGAUAAUGUUCCUUUAAGCAAUCAGUUGAUAAUCAGUUGCUUCUGUAAUGAUUAAUUUGGGGUUAUACUGGGCAGCUUUUAGGUGUCAGUGUGUGUAACUGUGUAAGUGACACUGCCAAAACAUUUUUAGCUAAAUAGAGAGGUGUUUCAAAAAGAAGGCUCAGAAAAUCCAGGCUUACUGGGGGAAGCCUGGCUUGAAUGAGCCUAAUAAACAUGUUUAAGUUGUUCCGUAAAGCCAUCUAAAAUCAGCUAAUCGGAUCAUGACAUCAAGUGCAGAUCUCAUCACCUCCCAAUAAAGAUGUAAAGAGAACACUGCAACAUUCAUAGGCCAGAGAGUAGCACAUAAUAUACACAUAAUGCAAAGGAUGAAAUAUUGUACAAAACAAGAUAAAACCACUGCCAUAAACAAAUCCAAAACCUUGACAGCAUGUUGCCCCCCCAGAGGUCAGCUCAGACUUUGACACAAGUAGAGAUGACCUCUGUGCCAUUUAACUCCCCUGUUGGCUCAGUCUGUGUACGUGCCUUCCUUGUAUCUUCUUGUCAUCUUUGGUUCAUGUCCAGUGUGAGUGUGAGUCCCUUUUCUCUGUAUCAUGACUGUUAAAAAUUAAUCUACAUGUGCAAGAUGCAAGACACUGAAGUGUCACCUAGGAAGAACCCUAGACAGGUUAUGUAUUGUAAUUUGCAUGUUCUAGCAGUUUAAGGUCUGUCAGUUGGAUUAUGCUCCAUAGCCUGUACAAGUGACAUAACAGUCUCCA